rnacentral:rRNA from 1 species
UACAGAGGUCUCAAGCGUUGUUCGGAUUCAUUGGGCGUAAAGGGUGCGUAGGCGGCGCGGUAAGUCGGGUGUGAAAUCUCGGGGCUUAACUCCGAAAACUGCAUUCGAUACUGCCGUGCUUGAGGACUGGAGAGGAGACUGGAAUUUACGGUGUAGCGGUGAAAAUGCGUAGAUAUCGUAAGGAAGACCAGUGGCGAAGGCGGGUCUCUGGACAGUUCCUGACGCUGAGGCACGAAGGUCAGGGGGAGCAAACGGG